AUAUUACAUGAUUUCGCAGGAUAUAGGGGAAGGAGUUCUUGCUUCAUGUGGGUCUUAUUUUAAGUGAAAGCUUGGAGUUAGGCUCAUUAGGUUAGCAUUGGAAGCGGAUGAUUGGCUUACACACAUAAGGAUAUUGAUGUGGUUUGAGCUGAAUGGGCAAAUCAUGUUAUGCAGUUCUAACUUUGGUUCUGUUUAAGGUAGAUGAGUAGCACUUGGAACUGCUUUUGUGCAUUUAUAUAUAACUGAUGGAAAGUGUUGAUGAACUUAAAUUAUGCAUGCAGUUGCUCUGUC